CUGGUAGUCGGCUGGUUGGUUUGAACCACGCCCCAUGCCACUCUGCGGUACUCUCCAAUUUGUCUGGUUGAAUUACAUUGUGUCACUGCUAAAACUUGGUUCUUUUUAAUCAAACGAGACAACUGGGAAUCACAUGGGCGCAACUAUCUAGGAAAGUGAGACACGAUUGGAUGCAUAUGGCUACUCGAGUGAUGAAUUAUGUGCAGAGACGGCAUUCAGAGUGAAUUGCACUAACUUGAUAACAUAGCCUCGCUUCGUGUUUGCCCGGAAGGUAAAAAAAGUCACCUUCAUGCAGCUAAAUACUAGCUUCAUUGUUUUCCUAAGAACCAUACAUCUAUAGGUGCCCCUGACUCAAAUUCCCAAUACAUCUCAUCCCUUGUGAUUGUCCGUGCUAUUCACUCUGCUUAUCAUUGUUGCUCUCCUCUCGCAAUUUGACAUCCUCCUCUCUAGCAACUAAAUUUGAUCCUCCAACAUACGGGAAGAUGCUAGUUAUUUUAUAGGAUGCCCUCUAGUGAUCAAUGUU
rnacentral:lncRNA from 1 species